ensembl:lncRNA novel transcript
GGGAGUUUAAGGUGACACGUGGAGAGCGCGGCGGACGUCCUUACCUCCAGAGGAAGUGGGGAUUUUGAUAGUUCGGGCUGACCUACGCGGGUUUUGGUAUCAGGAUGAUGCUGGCCUCAUAAAAUGAGUUAGGGAGAAGUUCCUCCUUUUCAGUUGCUUGGAAGAGUUUCAGAAGAAAUGGUACCAACUCCUCUUUGUACCUCUGAUAGAAUUCAGCUGUAAAUCUGUCAAGUCCUGGGAUUUUUUUGGUAGCAAGCUGGAUAAAGAAUCAAGACCCAUUGGUGUGCUGUAUUCAAGAGACCCAUCUCAUGUGCAAAGACACACAUAGGCUCAAAAUAAAGGAAUGGAGGAAAAUUUACCAAGAAAAUGGAAAGCAGAAAAAAGCAGGGGUUGCAAUUCCAGUUUCUGAUAAAAUAGACUUUAAACCAACAAAGAUCAAAAAAAGAUAAGGAAGGGCAUUACAUAAUGGUAAAGGGAUCAAUUCAACAUGAAGAGCUAAGUGUCCUAAAUAUAUAUUCAUGCAAUACAAGAGCAAUCAGAUUUAUAAAACAAGUUCUUAGAGACCUACAAUGAGACUUAGUCUCCCACACGAUGAUAAUGGUAGACUUUAACACCCCACUGUCAACAUUAGAUAGAUCAUUGAGAUGGAAAAUUAACAAAUAUAUUCAGGACUUGAACUCAGCUCUGGAUCAAGUGGACCUGAUAUAUAUCUACAGAACUCUCCACCUGAAAACAAGAGAAUGUACAUUCUUCUCAGCGCCACAUGGCACUUACUCUAAAAUUGAUCACAUAAUUGAAAGUAAAACACUCCUCAGCAAAUGCAAAAGAGCUGAAUUCAUAACAGUCUCUCAGACCACAGCACAAAUCAUAUUAGAACUCAAGAUUAAGAAACUCACUCAAAACCACACAACUACAUGGAAAUUGAACAACCUGCUCCUGAAUGACUCCUGGGUAAAUAAUGAAAUUAAGGCAGAAAUCAAGAAGUUCUUUGAAACCAAUGAGAACAAAGAGACAAUGUACCAGAAUCUCUGGGACAUGGCUAAAGCAGUGUUAAGAGGGAAAUUUAUAGCACUAAAUGCCUACAUCAAAAAGCUAGAAAGAUCUCAAAUUGAUACCCUAACAUCAUGACUAAAAGAACCAGAGAGCCAAAAGCAAACAAACCCCAAAGCUAGUAGAAGACAAGAAAUAACUGAGAUCAGAGCAGAACUGAAGGAGAUAGAGACAUGAAAAGCCCUUCGAAAAGCCAAUGAAUCUAGGAGCCAUUUUUUUUGAAAAAUAUUAAUAAAAUAGAUAGACUGCUAGCUCGACCAAUAAAGAAGAAAAGAAAGAAGAAUCAAAUAGACACAAAAAAAGUGUUAAAGGGGAUAUCACCACUGACCCCACAGAAAUACAAACAACCAUCAGAUAAUAUUAUAAACACCUCAAUGCAAAUAAACUAGAAAAUCUAGAAGAAAUGGAUAAAUUCCUGGACACAUACACCCUCCCAAGACUGAACCAGGAAGAAGCUGAAUCCCUGAAUAGACCAAUAACAAGUUCUGAAAUUGAUGCAGCAAUAAAUAGCCUACCAACCAAAAAUGAGGAUUAAUAAUUAGAGAAUUAGUUAGAAUAUUUAGAAAAUUAAUAAUUCACACAUUUAAAAAUGAUUGAUUAUGCAUACGUUUUUAGAAUAAUAUAGUCAUGUUCUUUGCCUCCUUUAAAUCUUCCCCUAAAUAUCCCUUUCCUAGUGAGACCUACUUUGACUACCCAAUUUGAAAUUAUAAUCUCAACCACCAUGUACUUCCUAUCUUCCCUUAGUCUGUCUUCCCUCUUUUAAUAGCACUUAUCAUUUGCAGGCAUACCUUAUUGCUAUGGUUUGAAUGUGUUCCCUCCAAGCUUCAUGUUGGAAGUUAAUCCUCCUUGUGAUGGUAUUAAGAGGUGGGGUCUUUGCGGAAGUGAUUAAGUUCAUGAGUGGAAUACCCUUACAUCCACAUGAAUAGAAUACCCUUACAAAAGAGGCUUCAGAGACAGUUUGCCCUUUUGCCUUCCCAUCCCUUCUACUAUAUAAGAACACCUAGAUGGAGUCUUCUAUGAGGAACUGAACUUCCCCUGACACUAACCCUGUCAGUGCCUUAAUCUUGGACUUCCCAGCUUCCAGAACUGUGAGAAAUAAGUUUCUGUUCUUUAUAAAUAACCCAGUCUCAGGUAUUUUGUCAUAGCAGCACAAACGGGAAAAGACACAUAUAUUAUGCUUAUUGUUAAUUGUCUGUGUACCCCAUGCCAACUAUAAACUCCUUUAGGAGUUUUGUCUGUUUCAUGUGCUUGUCAUGCAGGUGCCUGGUGCAUAGUAUUUCAGUGCAUUAGAAGGAUCUUUGUUAUAGGGAAUUCUAGAUUUACGUCUCUGCUAACAGUCAUUUCUAUUGUUU